rnacentral:rRNA from 1 species
AGCGAACGCUGGCGGCAGGCUUAACACAUGCAAGUCGAGCGGGCCCUUCGGGGUCAGCGGCUGACGGGUGAGCAACGCGUGGGAACGUGCCUUCUUGUCUGGAAUAACCCUGGGAAACUAGGGCUAAUACCGGAUACGCCCAUUUGGGGGAAGGUUUACUGCCGGAAGAUCGGCCCGGGUCUGUUUAGCUAGUUGGUAGGGUAACGGCCUACCCAGGCGACGAAUAGUAGCUGGGCUGAGAGGAUGAUCAGCCACACUGGGACUGAGACCCGGCCCAGACUCCUACGGAAGGGAGCAGAGGGGAAUAUUAGGCAAUGAGCGCAAGCCUAAUCCAGCCGUGCCGGGUAAGUCAUGAAGGGCUUAGGGUUGUAAAGCUCUUUUAUCCGAGACGAUAAUGACGGUACCGGAUAAAUAAGCACCGGCUAACUUCGUG